AGAGUUUGAUCAUGGCUCAGAUUGAACGCUGGCGGCAGGCCUAACACAUGCAAGUCGAGCGGUAACAUGUCUAGCUUGCUAGAUGAUGACGAGCGGCGGACGGGUGAGUAAUGCUUGGGGAUCUGCCUUAGAGUGGAGGAUAACCAUUGGAAACGAUGGCUAAUACUGCAUAGUAUCUGCGGAUUAAAGGGGGCUUAGGCUCUUGCUUUAAGAUGAACCCAAGUGGGAUUAGCUAGUUGGUGAGGUAAUGGCUCACCAAGGCGACGAUCCCUAGCUGGUCUGAGAGGAUGAUCAGCCACACUGGAACUGAGACACGGUCCAGACUCCUACGGGAGGCAGCAGUGGGGAAUAUUGCACAAUGGGCGAAAGCCUGAUGCAGCCAUGCCGCGUGUGUGAAGAAGGCCCUAGGGUUGUAAAGCACUUUCAGUCAGGAGGAAAGGUUAGUAGUUAAUACCUGCUAGCUGUGACGUUACUGACAGAAGAAGCACCGGCUAACUUCGUGCCAGCAGCCGCGGUAAUACGAGGGGUGCAAGCGUUAAUCGGAAUUACUGGGCGUAAAGCGAGCGUAGGCGGCUGAAUAAGCUGGAUGUGAAAAACCGGGGCUCAACCUCGGCCGUGCAUUCAGAACUGUUUAGCUAGAGUCCUGUAGAGGGGGGUAGAAUUUCA
rnacentral:rRNA from 1 species